UUAAGCGACUAAGCGUACACGGUGGAUGCCCUGGCAGUCAGAGGCGAUGAAGGACGUGCUAAUCUGCGAUAAGCGUCGGUGAGGUGAUAUGAACCGUUAUAACCGGCGAUUUCCGAAUGGGGAAACCCAGUGUGUUUCGACACACUAUCAUUAACUGAAUCCAUAGGUUAAUGAGGCGAACCGGGGGAACUGAAACAUCUAAGUACCCCGAGGAAAAGAAAUCAACCGAGAUUCCCCCAGUAGCGGCGAGCGAACGGGGAGGAGCCCAGAGCCUGAAUCAGUGUGUGUGUUAGUGGAAGCGUCUGGAAAGGCGCGCGAUACAGGGUGACAGCCCCGUACACAAAAAUGCACAUGCUGUGAGCUCGAUGAGUAGGGCGGGACACGUGGUAUCCUGUCUGAAUAUGGGGGGACCAUCCUCCAAGGCUAAAUACUCCUGACUGACCGAUAGUGAACCAGUACCGUGAGGGAAAGGCGAAAAGAACCCCGGCGAGGGGAGUGAAAAAGAACCUGAAACCGUGUACGUACAAGCAGUGGGAGCCUCUUAAUGGGGUGACUGCGUACCUUUUGUAUAAUGGGUCAGCGACUUAUAUUCUGUAGCAAGGUUAACCGAAUAGGGGAGCCGAAGGGAAACCGAGUCUUAACUGGGCGUUAAGUUGCAGGGUAUAGACCCGAAACCCGGUGAUCUAGCCAUGGGCAGGUUGAAGGUUGGGUAACACUAACUGGAGGACCGAACCGACUAAUGUUGAAAAAUUAGCGGAUGACUUGUGGCUGGGGGUGAAAGGCCAAUCAAACCGGGAGAUAGCUGGUUCUCCCCGAAAGCUAUUUAGGUAGCGCCUCGUGAAUUCAUCUCCGGGGGUAGAGCACUGUUUCGGCAAGGGGGUCAUCCCGACUUACCAACCCGAUGCAAACUGCGAAUACCGGAGAAUGUUAUCACGGGAGACACACGGCGGGUGCUAACGUCCGUCGUGAAGAGGGAAACAACCCAGACCGCCAGCUAAGGUCCCAAAGUCAUGGUUAAGUGGGAAACGAUGUGGGAAGGCCCAGACAGCCAGGAUGUUGGCUUAGAAGCAGCCAUCAUUUAAAGAAAGCGUAAUAGCUCACUGGUCGAGUCGGCCUGCGCGGAAGAUGUAACGGGGCUAAACCAUGCACCGAAGCUGCGGCAGCGACACUAUGUGUUGUUGGGUAGGGGAGCGUUCUGUAAGCCUGUGAAGGUGGCCUGUGAGGGUUGCUGGAGGUAUCAGAAGUGCGAAUGCUGACAUAAGUAACGAUAAAGCGGGUGAAAAGCCCGCUCGCCGGAAGACCAAGGGUUCCUGUCCAACGUUAAUCGGGGCAGGGUGAGUCGACCCCUAAGGCGAGGCCGAAAGGCGUAGUCGAUGGGAAACAGGUUAAUAUUCCUGUACUUGGUGUUACUGCGAAGGGGGGACGGAGAAGGCUAUGUUGGCCGGGCGACGGUUGUCCCGGUUUAAGCGUGUAGGCUGGUUUUCCAGGCAAAUCCGGAAAACCAAGGCUGAGGCGUGAUGACGAGGCACUACGGUGCUGAAGCGACAAAUGCCCUGCUUCCAGGAAAAGCCUCUAAGCAUCAGGUAACAUCAAAUCGUACCCCAAACCGACACAGGUGGUCAGGUAGAGAAUACCAAGGCGCUUGAGAGAACUCGGGUGAAGGAACUAGGCAAAAUGGUGCCGUAACUUCGGGAGAAGGCACGCUGAUAUGUAGGUGAAGCGACUUGCUCGUGGAGCUGAAAUCAGUCGAAGAUACCAGCUGGCUGCAACUGUUUAUUAAAAACACAGCACUGUGCAAACACGAAAGUGGACGUAUACGGUGUGACGCCUGCCCGGUGCCGGAAGGUUAAUUGAUGGGGUUAGCGGCAACGCGAAGCUCUUGAUCGAAGCCCCGGUAAACGGCGGCCGUAACUAUAACGGUCCUAAGGUAGCGAAAUUCCUUGUCGGGUAAGUUCCGACCUGCACGAAUGGCGUAAUGAUGGCCAGGCUGUCUCCACCCGAGACUCAGUGAAAUUGAACUCGCUGUGAAGAUGCAGUGUACCCGCGGCAAGACGGAAAGACCCCGUGAACCUUUACUAUAGCUUGACACUGAACAUUGAGCCUUGAUGUGUAGGAUAGGUGGGAGGCUUUGAAGUGUGGACGCCAGUCUGCAUGGAGCCGACCUUGAAAUACCACCCUUUAAUGUUUGAUGUUCUAACGUGGGCCCCUAAUCGGGGUUGCGGACAGUGUCUGGUGGGUAGUUUGACUGGGGCGGUCUCCUCCUAAAGAGUAACGGAGGAGCACGAAGGUUGGCUAAUCCUGGUCGGACAUCAGGAGGUUAGUGCAAUGGCAUAAGCCAGCUUGACUGCGAGCGUGACGGCGCGAGCAGGUGCGAAAGCAGGUCAUAGUGAUCCGGUGGUUCUGAAUGGAAGGGCCAUCGCUCAACGGAUAAAAGGUACUCCGGGGAUAACAGGCUGAUACCGCCCAAGAGUUCAUAUCGACGGCGGUGUUUGGCACCUCGAUGUCGGCUCAUCACAUCCUGGGGCUGAAGUAGGUCCCAAGGGUAUGGCUGUUCGCCAUUUAAAGUGGUACGCGAGCUGGGUUUAGAACGUCGUGAGACAGUUCGGUCCCUAUCUGCCGUGGGCGCUGGAGAACUGAGGGGGGCUGCUCCUAGUACGAGAGGACCGGAGUGGACGCAUCACUGGUGUUCGGGUUGUCAUGCCAAUGGCACUGCCCGGUAGCUAAAUGCGGAAGAGAUAAGUGCUGAAAGCAUCUAAGCACGAAACUUGCCCCGAGAUGAGUUCUCCCUGACUCCUUGAGAGUCCUGAAGGAACGUUGAAGACGACGACGUUGAUAGGCCGGGUGUGUAAGCGCAGCGAUGCGUUGAGCUAACCGGUACUAAUGAACCGUGAGGCUUAACCUU
rnacentral:rRNA from 2 species